UUUGGGGGAUAUAAGCUUCAUUUUUAUUUUUAUAUAAUGCGUCAUAGACACCUAGUUUAUUUUAUUUUAUUUUUACUUACUUAAACUAAGCGAUUGAAACCACAGGCAACUUCCAAAUAAUUGGCAUUUUGAAAAUAAAAAUUCUCAAUAAAGUUUAACUAUGUCAGCUUGGAGAGGUUAGACCACUCAUGGACCAUGCAGAACAUUUCACACUCCUUUAUGUUCUUUGUGCACAUAGAGUGCAUUUCUCAAUUUCUUCACUUUGUAAACUGUUGUAUAUAAGCAAUAUAAAUAGAAAAUGUAUACAAAAUCAAAGAGAAAUAUGAUUCUCUAAUGCAAUAUUACUUAAAACCUACAAACAUGAGUUAGUUUUAAUCCAAAUAUUUAAAUGAGUAUCGACUGAAAUAUUUUUAAAACUAUAACAUUUGCACAUUGAGAUUAUUCAGCAUUAAGCCUUGCUCUGGCCAUAUCACUAUAGCGCUACUGUUUGUCCCACCAUGACCAGGCAAAGCAAAAUGUUAUGGAUUGGUCAUCAACAACAUACAGCCUGGACCCCCUCUGAAGAGUUUUCGCUAGGAGUUGUUGAAUAUUAAAACUCUAUCACGAGAAACCAGUAGUUUUAAUAUGAAAGGAUCCUGGAAAAGAGCUUCCUUAAAAAAAAAGUAGAGUCUUUAGUUGGUGCAGGAGUGUGCGGUUUUUAGGUCUUCAAAGGAGAACAGAAAAAGGUGCUUGUGCAUUCCUGCUAUCACCACCAGGCUCCACAAAAGCUUUUUCUCUGAGGCACUGAGAGAACUCAACACAUUGCUGGACUAGUCAAUCCCUCCCAACACCCACCAUAGUUUACAGAUAAUUGUUUGCACUAGGUUUUACACAUCACUAUGCUAUUGUCCUGUCCAGUUAAGGUGCACUGCUCUGUGGAUUUAAUGUGCUGUGUAUUUAUUGUAUUUUUUGCUCUCUUCUUAUACUGUCACGUAUCUGCACUUUAUACUGUAUAUUGUAUUUAUACUGUAUAAUACUGUAUUAUUUUAUUUUUUUUUAAAAAAAGAAGAAAAGGUUACUCGACUAGGUGGCACCUCAUAACUGGAACAUCUGCCACUCAGUCCUGCAAAGCUAUAAAGGAAGUGUUUGACAUGAUUUUUGUCCCUGGAGAUGGUGUCUGCAGAUCGCAUUUUGGGACGUCUCAAACUGUGGGGAUCUCGUGUGGUGGAACGGUACGAAUAAACCUGGACCCUUGCUUCUUCUCACUCACGGCUGG
ensembl:lncRNA